UAGGGGUGAAAGGCCAAUCAAACCCGGAGAUAUCUCGUUCUCCCCGAAAUAGCUUUAGGGCUAGCCUCGGGAGGUGGAUCGCGGAGGUAGGGCGCCGGACGGCCGAGGGGGCUUCACCGCCUACCGAAGCCGACCGAACUGCGAAUGCCGCGACCAGACACCCCGGGAGUCAGGCCGCGCGGGCUAAGCCGCGCGGCCGAGAGGGGAACAGCCCAGACCGCCCGCUAAGGCCCCCAAUUCCGCGCUGAGUGGCAAAGGAUGUGCGUUUGCCUAGACAACCAGGAUGUUGGCUUAGAAGCAGCCAUGCAUUCAAAGAGUGCGUAACAGCUCACUGGUCGAGUGGACAUGCGCCGACAAUACACGGGGCUAAGCGCGGAGCCGAAGCGGCGGGGCCGCGCCCUUUUUCGGGCGCGGCCGGUAGGGGAGCGUUCCGCGCAGGGGCGAAGCCGCCGGGGCGACCGGCGGUGGACCGCGCGGAAGCGAGAAUGCAGGCAUGAGUAACGAGAGAGGGGCGGGAAACCCCUCCGCCGUAAGCGCGAGGUUUCCUGGGCGAGGCUAAUCCCCCCAGGGUCAGUCGGGCGCUAAGGCGAGGCCGUAAGGCGUAGCCGAUGCCCAGCAGGCGGACAUUCCUGCACCGCCGCCGGACCGCUAGGACCGACGGGGCGACGAAGGAGGAUAGGCGGGCGGGGUUCUGGACGUCCCCGUGAAAGCGCGUAGGGCGGGCCGCAGGCAAAUCCGCGGCCCACGGAGCCUGAGACGCGAGACGAAGCCCUCGAGGCGAAGCCGCUGAUUCCAUGCUUCCGAGAAAAACCCCUAGGCAGGGCCGGCGGCGCCCGUACCUAAACCGACACAGGUGCGCGGGUAGAGCAUACCGAGGCGUUCGGGAGAACCAUGGCCAAGGAACUCGGCAAAACCGCCCCGUAACUUCGGGAGAAGGGGCGCCGCCGGGGGUGGAGGGGCGAGCCCCCCGAGCCCGCGGCGGCCGCAGCGAAUAGGCCCAGGCGACUGUUUACCAAAAACACAGGACUCUGCCAAGCCGCAAGGCGACGUAUAGGGUCUGACGCCUGCCCGGUGCCGGAAGGUCACGCGGAAGGGUCAGCGCGAGCGAAGCCCCGAAGCCAAGCCCCGGUAAACGGCGGCCGUAACUAUAACGGUCCUAAGGUAGCGAAAUUCCUUGUCGGGUAAGUUCCGACCUGCACGAAAGGCGUAACGACCUGGGCGCUGUCUCGGCCAUGGACCCGGUGAAAUUGCAUUAUUCGUGAAGAUGCGAAUUACCCGCGGAAGGACGGAGAGACCCCGUGAACCUUCACUGCAGCUUGGCAUUGGCCGACGGUUCGGUGCGUAGAGGAUAGGCAGGAGCCCGCGAAGCGGGGGCGCAAGCCCCCGCGGAGGCGCCCUUGGAAUACUGCCCCCAUCGCUCCGGCGGCCUAACGCGCGGCCGCCAUCCGGCGCGCGGACCGUGCCAGGCGGGCAGUUUGACUGGGGCGGUCGCCUCCCAAAAGGUAACGGAGGCGCGCGCAAGGUCCGCUCGGGACGGUCGGCAACCGUCCUGUGAGCGCAAGAGCACAAGCGGGCCUGACUGCGAGACCCACGAGUCGAGCAGGGACGAAAGUCGGCUCUAGUGAUCCGGCGGCCCCACGUGGGAGGGCCGUCGCUCAACGGAUAAAAGGUACUCCGGGGAUAACAGGCUGAUCUUGCCCAAGAGUCCACAUCGACGGCAAGGUUUGGCACCUCGAUGUCGGCUCAUCGCAUCCUGGGGCUGUAGUCGGUCCCAA
rnacentral:rRNA from 1 species